CAGGGAUUGCCUUAGUAACGGCGAGUGAAGCGGCAACAGCUCAAAUUUGAAAUCUGGCCCUCGGGUCCGAAUUGUAAUUUGUAGAGGAUGAUUUUGGUGCGGUAUCUUCCGAGUUCCUUGGAACAGGACGCCUUAGAGGGUGAGAGCCCCGUACGGUUGAAUGCCUAGCCUCUGUAAAUCUCCUUCGACGAGUCGAGUAGUUUGGGAAUGCUGCUCUAAAUGGGAGGUAAAUUUCUUCUAAAGCUAAAUAUUGGCCAGAGACCGAUAGCGCACAAGUAGAGUGAUCGAAAGAUGAAAAGCACUUUGAAAAGAGGGUUAAAUAGCACGUGAAAUUGUUGAAAGGGAAGGAUUUGUGACCAGACUUUUUCUGGGCGGAUCAUCCGGGGUUCUCUCCGGUGCACUUUGCCCAGUAAAGGCCAGCAUCGAUUUUCGGCGGCGGAUAAAAGCAGUGGGAAUGUGGCUCCCUACGGGGAGUGUUAUAGCCCAUUGUAUAAUACGCUGCUGGGGAUCGAGGUACGCGCUUCUGCAAGGAUGCUGGCGUAAUGGUUAUCAAUCACCCGUCUUGAAACACGGACCAAGGAGUCGAACAUUUAUGCGAGUGUUUGGGUGUUAAACCCUCACGCGUAAUGAAAGUGAACGGAGGUGAGAGCCCGUACGGGUGCAUCAUCGACCGAUCCUGAAGUUUUCGGAUGGAUUUGAGUAAGAGCAUAACUGUUCGGACCCGAAAGAUGGUGAACUAUGCGUGGAUAGGGUGAAGCCAGAGGAAACUCUGGUGGAGGCUCGCAGCGGUUCUGACGUGCAAAUCGAUCGUCAAAUCUGCGCAUGGGGGCGAAAGACUAAUCGAACCAUCUAGUAGCUGGU
rnacentral:rRNA from 1 species